GACGAACCGUGCGAACGUUAUUCGGAAUCACUGGGCUUAAAGUGCGUGUAGGCGGGCCGCCACGUCGGCUGCUGAAAUCCCCCGGCUCAACCGGGGAACGGGCACCGAUACGAGCGGCCUGGAGGGGGGUAGGGGGGUCUGGAACUUCCGGUGGAGCGGUGAAAUGCGUUGAGAUCGGAAGGAACGCCCGUGGCGAAAGCGAGGCCCUGGACCCUUACUGACGCUGAGACGCGAAAGCCAGGGGAGCGAACGGG
rnacentral:rRNA from 1 species